ACUGAGAAGUUCAGGAAGAGGUAAAUUCCAAAAAAUAUAGUCAAUUUCUGAGUUCAUAGUCAAUCUAACUAGGUAAUCAACACUCAUGUUUCCUUCUCUAUAAAUCUAUACAAAAACUAUAUUCCACUUUCUUUUCCUCAGUUCAUUCACUUUCUUGAUUAUGGGGUCAGGGUGUCUCCCCAAAUUCUUCCCCCCAUUUAAGAGACUCACCACUAUCGCAGAAUCAAUCUCUGCAAUAAUUCUACGAAAACCCAUAGUCCAAGCUAAACUCAAACCCUUGUAUACACUCCAAAACUCUGCAUCAAAUGCUGAUCCUCUCCCAAUUUUGCAAGUAAAAUCCGCAAUCCAUCUUCCUUCUUUCGUUCGCAAGAGGCCACCGUAUCCACUUGCUAGAGGAGUUCUCACCGCCGACUCGUCCAUGUUCAACUUGACCCACCCAUUGGGGGGUGGGUUCCAACAGAUGUUCCUCUUCAUUUUUGCUCCUUGCUUCUCCACUUGUGCCAUAAUCUCCAACAUGUAGUAGUAAAAAUGUCUUUCCAGUUCAACUCAAUGUCUGCACUCUAUUGUUUCUUGAGGUUAGUUUCUAUCCGUUGCUCCCAAUUAAGUUGAAAGAAUUGAGGAAUGAACUUGGUAUUAAUAAGUUUACACCAAAUAGUUGAGGUUUUAGGGCAAUUUCUAAGCACAUGUAGUACAUCUUCAGUGUCCCUAUUACAAAAUUGACAAAUUUCAUUACCCCCGAAAAUUCUAGCUUUUCUCUGGUUGGUCAUGAUUCUUCUGUGCAUGGCUGUCCAUAGAGAAAUUUUUGCUCUUUGUGGUCCCUUCCAACUCCAAAUGUUUGUCCAGGUCAAUUUUUUCCAUUUAGGCCAGUUUGAUAGAGCUUUGUAUGUUGCAUUAAUAGAGAAGUCUCCAUCUUGGGAGUGUCUCCACCCUCUUCUAUCGUCCUUGUUCUUAGCUCUGGGAGGGUUAAUUUUAGGAAUCUUAUCCACUUUAUCUUGGGGUAAAUUGUUAGUAAGUUUCUCUGUGUCACAUUCUUUUUCUAUUGGUCCAUUCCCACACCAAACUUUCAGUGUCUAUAUUAGCUAGGUCACAAGCUGAUUCCAUGAGAGGAGCUUCCCCUUCAAUCCAUUUGAUGUUUUCAGAAUAGAGUAGACAAUCCAUUUCUCACAUAUUGGAUGGUGCCAUUAUUGAACUUUGGCCAAAGCUUUGUGAUUUCUUUCUAGAAUUGAUAAUCUGUAGUGUUUGAAGAGCUAUUACUAUUCAAAUUCCUCCCAUUAUAAUACUUGUAGGAUAGAACCCGAAUCCACAAUGUAUUAGGGUUUUCCAAGGCCUGCCACAUAUUCUUCAAAAGAAACGCAUCAUUCAUGGUGGUUGGAUUUCUAAACCCCAUUCCUCCUGCAUGUUUUGGUUGACAUAGAGUUUUUCAGCCGACUAAGUGCAUUUUCUUUUGAUUCUAGUCAUCUCCGCAAAUAAAAUUCCUUUGGAGCUUUUCCACAUCUUGACAAAAUCCCUCUUGGGACUCUACCAUGUUGCAUAUUAUAAUUUAGGAUAGGAUUCAACACAUAGUGGGCCAGAGUAAGCCUCCCAACGAAGGAGAUGCAUUUAGUUUCCAGCCUUUUAGCUUGUUUUGAACCUUUUCCAAGAUAUCUUUGAAAUUCUCUUUUCCAGCCCUUUUGUUAGUUACCAUUGCUCCUAGAUAUUUUUCCAGUUCUUUUUGCUCUCUAAAACCAGCCUUGCAAAAAAUUUCUCUUUUGACUGCUACAUCCAUUCCUUUAGAGAAGAUUAUAGAGGUUUUGUCAUUGUUGAUUUUGAGCCCCGAUGCCUUACAGAACCUCUCCAUAACUUCUAUGACAUUUGUAAUCUGUUCCAUCGUCGCUUCUGCACAAAGUAGUAAGUCAACCGCGAACACUAGGUGUGAGAUCUCAGGUACACCCUUUCCAACUCUAAUCGGCUUCCAACGUUCCUUUUGAACUUGGUCUUCAAUCAACAUGCAAAACGAGCAAAAAAAAUACGCACGCGUGUGAAACCAGCGAUAAACACACACACGUGCGAAAUGAGCGAAAAACACACACGACCGAAAUGAGCGAAAAAUACACACACGUGCGAAAUGAGCAAAAAAUACGCACCUGUGCGAAACGAGCAAAAAAUACACACGUGCGAAAUGAGCGAAAAACACACUCACGUGCGAAAAACACAACAAAAAUUAAAAAACACGUGCGAAACGAGCGAAAAACACACACACGUGCGAAAUGCUAGAAAAACACAUACGUCUGAAACGAGCGAAAUACACAAAAAACACACACGUGCAAAACGAGCAAAAAACACAAAAAAAAAUAUUCACUUGCAAAACGAGCAAAAAACACACACACAUACGAAACGAGCGAUAAACACACACACGUGCGAAACGAGCGAAAAAAACGUAAAUAUGCGAAAUGAGCGAAAAACACAAAAAAAUAAAUAAAAUAAAAAAACACACACACGUGCGAAAUGCUAGAAAAACACAUACGCCUGAAACGAGCAAAAUACACAAAAAAACACAUACACGUGCACAACGAGCAAAAAACACAAAAAAAAAUUCACUUGCAAAACGAGCGAAAAAUACACACAUGCGAAACGAGCGAUAAACACACACACGUGCAAAACGAGCGAAAAAUACGUAAAUAUGCGAAAUGAGCGAAAAACACAAAAAAAAUUAAAAAUUAAAAAACACACACACGUGCGAAACGAGCGACAAACACACACACACGUGAGAAACGAGCGAAAAACACACAGACGUGUGAAACGGGCGUAAAACAUGCACAUAUGCGAAAAGAGCAAAUAACAAAAAAAACACGUGCGAAACAAGCAAAAAAUACGCACCUAUGCUAAACGAGCGAAAAACACAAAACACACACGUUCGAAAUAAGCGUAAAACACACACGUGCGAAACGAGCGAAAAACAAACACAUACGAAACGAGCGAAAAACACAAAAAAAACAUAAACAUGUGCGAAACUAGCAAAAAACGCACACACGUGCGAAACGAGCGAUAAACACACACACGUGAAAAACGAGCGAAAGACACAAAAAAAAAAACACACACACACAUGAGCAAAACGGGUGAAAAUCACAAACACAUGGGAAACGAGCGAAAAAUGCGCACGCGUGUGAAACCAGCAAAAAAGACACGUGCGAAACGAGCAAAAAAUAGGAAAAAAUUAAAAAUAAAAAAUACACAUGUGCCAAACGAGAAAAAAAUAGGAAAAAAUAAAAAGAACAUACACACACGUGCGAAAUGAGCGGAAAACACACACAAGUAAGAAACGAGCAAAAAACACACACACAUGCGAAACGAACGAAAAACACACACACACACAUUUGAAACGAGCGAAAAAUACACACACACACCCCUGCAAAACGAGCGAAAAACACGCACACGUGCGGAAAGAACAAAAAACACAAAAAUAACACACGUGCGAAACAAGCGAAAAAAACAAACACGUGCGAAACGAGCGAAAAAUACGCACAUAUGCGAAACGAACGAAAAAUAUGCACCUGUGCAAAACGAGCGACUAACACACACACGUGUGAAACGGGUAAAAAACACACUCAUGUUCGAAACCAGCAAAAAACAAAAAAAAGACAUACCCACAUGCGAAAUGAGCGAAAAAUACAAAAAAACACACACGUGCGAAACAAGCGAAAAACACGCAUAUGUGCGAAACAAGCGAAAAACACAAAAAAAAUAACACAUACACAUGUGAAACGAGUGAAGAACACCAAAAAAAACACACACACACACACAUGUGGAAUGAGUGAAAAACACAAAAAAAAACACACAUGCGAAACGACCGAAAAACAAAAAAACACACACGUGCGAAACGAUCGAAAACACACACACACACAUGCGAAACGAGCGAUAAACACACACGUGCAAAAUGAGCGAAAAAUACGCAAAUGUGCGAAAUGAGCGAAAAACACAAAAAAAAUCAAAAAAUAAAAAAACACACACGUGCGAAACGAACAACAAACACACACACACAUGUGAAAAACAAGCGAAAAACACACAGACGUGCGAAACGAGCGAAAAAGACGCACACGUGCGAAAAGAGCAAAUAACAUAGAAAAAACGCACACGUACGAAACGAGCAAAAAACAGAUACACGUGCGAAACAAGCAAAAAAUACGCACCUGUGUGAAACGAGCGAAAAACACACACACGAGCAAAAUGAACGAAAAAGACAUGUGCGAAACGAGCAAAAAACACAAAACACAUAUAUAGACACAUGCGAAACGAGCGAAAAAGAUACAAGUGCAAAACGAGCGAAAAAUACACACACGUGCGAAACAAGCGAAAAACAAACACGUGUGAAACGAGCGAAAAACACAAAAAAUACACAUGUGCAAAACGAGCGAAAAACACAAAAAAAACACACACCCCGUGCGAAACGAGCAAAAACACAUACACGUGCGAAACGAACGAAAAACAUGCACACAUGCGAAACGAGCGAGAAACACGCAUACGUGCGAAACGAGCAAAAACCGCAAAAUAAAUACACACACGUGUGAAACAAGCGAAAAACACAAAAAAAUACACAUACGUGCGAUACGAGCGAAAAACACAAAAAAAUCACACACACAGAUGCAAAAUAGGCGAAAAACACACAUACGUGCGAAACGAGGGAAAAAUACAAAAGAAAAACAUAACAAAAAAAAUAAAAAACACACACGUGCGAAAAGAACGAAAAACACAAAGAAAAACACGCACAUGCGAAACGAGUGAAAAACACAAAAAAAUACACACAUUCGUGCGAAAUGAGCGAAAAACAUACACACGUUCGAAACGAGCAAAAAACACACAAAAAAACACACACACACAUGUGCAAAACGAGCAAAAAAACAAGAAAAAACAAAAAAAACACAGACCCUCGUGCGAAACGAGUGAAAAACCCAAAAGUAAAAACACAUACACAUACGUGCAAAACGAGCGAAAAACAAACACACGUGCGAAAUGAGCAAAAAAAACAAAAAAACACACACGUGCGACACGAGCGAAAAACAUACACACCUGCAAAAUGAGCAAUAAACACACAUACGUGCGAAACAAACGGAAAACACGCAUAUAUGCGAAACAAGCGACAAACACACACACAUGUGAAACCAGCAAAAAAAUAAAAAAAUAAAAAAAACAAUCACACACGUGCGGAACGAUCGAAAAACACACACAUGCACGAAAACUGGCGAAAAACACGCAUACGUGCAAAAUGAGCAAAAAACACGAAAAAAACACACACACACACGUGCGAAACGAGCGAAAAACACACAAAAAAGAACAACACACACACGUGCGAAAAUGGUGAAAAACACAAAAAAACACACACACACAUGCGAAACGAGUGAAAAACAAAAAAUAAAUAAAAAACACACAUGCGAAACGACCGAAAAAUAAAAAAACACACGUGCGAAACGAUCGAAAAACACACACACACAUGCGAAACGAGCGAUAAAUGCACACACGUGCGAAACGAGCGAAAAACACGCAAAGGUGCGAAAUUAGCGAAAAACACAAAAAAAUAAAAAAACACACACGUGCGAAACGAGCGACAAACACACACACACACACGUGUGAGAAACAAGCGAAAAACACACAGACGUGCGAAACGAGCAAAAAACACGCACACGUAUGAAAAGAGCAAAUAACAUAAAAAAAACACACACGUGCGAAACGAGCAAAAAAUAGAUACACAAGCGAAACGAGCAAAAAAUACGCAUUUGUGCGAAACGAGCGAAAAACACAAAACACAUAUACACACAUAUGCAAAACGAGCGAAAAACACAAAAGUGCGAAACAAGCGAAAAACACACACACGUGCAAAACGAGAAAAAAAUAAACAGAUGCGAAACGAGCGAAAAACACAAAAAAAAAACACACAUGUGCAGAACAAACAAAAAACACAAAAAAACCAGACACCCCGUGCAAAACGAGCAAAAACACAGACACGUGCGAAACAAGGGAGAAACAAAACAUGCACACGUGCGAAACGAGCGAGAAACACGCACACGUGCAAAACGAGCAAAAAACACAAAAAAAUACACACACGUGUGAAAUGAGCAAAAAACACAAAAAACACACGUAUGUGCGAAACGAGCGAAAAACACAAAAAAAUUAAAAAAAACACACACACACAUGCAAAACGAGCGAAAAACUCACACGUGCGAAACGAGCAAAAAAUACACACGUGCGAAACGAGUGAAAAAACACGCACACGUGCGAAAAGAACAAAAAACACACACACGCAUGCGAAACGAGUGAAAAACACAGAAAAAAUGCACACACUCGUGUGAAACGGGCGGAAAAUACAAAUACGUACGAAACGAGCGAAUAACACGUACACGUUUGAAACGAGCAAAAAAUACAAAAAAAAAUACACACAUACAUAUGCGAAACGAGCAAAAAACGCAGCCGUGCGAAAAACAAAGAAAAAUACACACGCGUGCGAAACUAGCGAAAAAUACAAGAAAAAUAUGCACACGUGCGAAACGAGCAGAAAACACAAAUACAUACAAAACAAACGAAAAACACGGACACACAUUCGAAACAAGCGAAAAACAUAAAAACACACAGAAACACAUGCAAAACACGUGAGAAACACACAAUGUGAAACGAGCGAAAAACACACAAGUGCGAAACGAGCAAAAAACACACACGUGCGAAACGAGCGAAAAACACAAAAAAACACACACACACAUGUGCAGAACAAACGAAAAACAUAAAAAAACCAUACACCUCGUGCGAAAUGAGCAAAAACACGCACACUUGCGAAACGAGUGAGAAAAACGGACACGUGCAAAACGAACAAACACACAAAAAGUAGACACAUGUGUGAAACGAGCGAAAAAUACAAAAAAACACACAUACGUGUGAAACGAGCAAAAAACACAAACAAAAUAAAAAAACACACACACAUACAUGCAAAAUGAGCGAAAAACACACACACGUGCGAAACGAGGGAAAAUACACAAAAAAACACACACGUGCAAAUUGAGCAAAAAACACACACGUGCAAAACGAGCGAAAAAUACGCACACGUGCGAAAAGAACGAAAAACACAAAGAAAAAUACACACACGUGUUCGAAACGAGUGAAAAACACGCACACGUUCAAAAUGAGGGAAUAACACGCACACGUUCAAAAUGAGCAAAAAACACAAAAAAACACACAUACUCGUGUGAAACGAGCAAAAAAUACACUGCCGUGCGUAAAGAGCGAAAAACAAAGAAAAACACACACGCGUGCGAAAUAAGCAAAAAAUACACACACUUGCGAAACGAGCGAAAAAUAUAAACAAACACACACAAACACAUGCGAAAUAAGCGAGAAACACUCAAUGUGAAACUAGCAAAAAAAAACAAAAGAAACACACAGACACACACAUACACGUGCGAAACGAGCGAAAAACACAAAAAAAAAACACAUACACGUGCGAAAUGAGCGAAAAACACACAUACGUGCGAAACGAGCAAAAAAAUCAAAAUAACCACACACCCCGUGUGAAAUGAGCAAAAACACGCACACAUGCGAAACGAACGAAAAAUACGUUCACGUGCAAAACGAGCGAAAAACAUGCACACGUGCAAAACGAGCAAAAAACACAAAAAAGAAAAAACACACACGCGUGCGAAAGGAGCAAAAAACACAAACACAUGUGCGAAACGAGUGAAAAAGACGCACACGUGCGAAACAAGCAAAAAACACACAAAAAAACACACACGUGUAAAAAUGAUCGAAAAACAAAAAAAAUUAAAAAACACACCCAUGUGCGAAACGAGCGAAAAACACACACGUGCGAAAUGACGAAAAACAAAAAAAGUAAAUAAAAAACAAACACACAAGUGUGAAACGAGCGAAAAAUGCACAUGGGCGAAAUGAGCGAAAAACACAAAAAAACACACACGUACGAAACAAGUAAAAAACACACACGUGCGAAACGAACAAAAAACACACACGUGCAAAUAGAGCAAAAAUCACAAUAAAAACAUACACGUGUGAAACGAGCGAAAAAUACACACACGUGCAAAACGAGCGAAAAAAACACAGAUCCCGUGCGAAACGAGUGACAAACUCAAAAGAAAAAACACAAACACAUUCGUGUAAAACGAGCGAAAAACAAACAGACGUGUGAAAUGAGUGAAAAACACAAAAAAAACACACGUGCGAAACGAGCGAAAAACAUACACACAUGCGAAACAAGCAAUAAACACGCAUAUGUACGAAACAAGCGAAAAACACACACACAUGAGAAACCAGCAAAAAACACAAAAAAAUAAAAAAACAAUCACACAUGUGCGAAAUGAUUGAAAAACACACACAUGCGCGAAAACUGGCGAAAAACACGCAUACGUGCAAAAUGAGCAAAAAACACGAAAAAAAACACACACACGUGCGAAACGGGCGAAAAACACAAAAAAACAACGCACACGUGCGAAACGAGUAAAAAACACAAAAAAAAACACACAUGCAGAACGAGUGAAAAACAAAAAAAAUAAAUAAAUAACACACAUGCGAAACGACCGAAAAAAACACACACACACACACACGUGCGAAACGAUCGAAAAACACACACACGCACGUGCGUAACGAGCGACAAACACACACACACACAUGUGAGAAACAAGCGAAAAACACACAGACGUGCGAAACGAGUAAAAAACAUGCACACGUGUGAAAAGAGCAAAUAACAUAAAAAAAACACACACGUUCGAAACGAGCAAAAAACAUAUACACGUGCGAAACGAGCGAAAAAAACAAAACAAACAUACACACACAUACAAAACGAGCGAAAAACAAACACGUGCGAAACGAUCGAAAAACACAAAAAAAACACACACAUGUGCAGAACAAACGAAAAACACAAAAAAACCACAACCUCGUACGAAACGAGCGAAAAACACGCACACGUGCGAAACUAGCGAAAAACACACACGCGUGCGAAAGGAGCAAAAAACACACACACAUGUGCGAAACGAGUGAAAAACACGUACAUGUGCGAAAUAAGCGAAUAAUACGCACAAAAAAAACACGUGCAAAACGAGCGAAAAAUAUAAAAAAAUGCGCACACAUGUGUGAAACGAGCGAAAAAUACAAAAAAAUAAAUAAAUAACAGACACACACGUGUGAAACGAGCGAAAAACUCACAUUGGUGAAAUGAGCGAAAAACACAAAAAAAACACACACGUGCGAAACGAACGAAAAACACACACGUGCGAAAAGAGCAAAAAUCACAAAAAAAACAUACACAUUCGAAACGAGCAAAAAAAAUUCACACACGUGUGAAACGAGCGAAAAACAAGAAAAAACACACAUACGUGCGGAACGAGCGAAAAACACAAACAAAAUAAAAAAACACACACACAUGCAAAACGAGAGAAAAACACACACACAUAUGAAACGAGGGAAAAUACACAAAAAAACAUAAAAAAAAAUAAAAAAAUAUGCACACGUGCGAAACGAGCGAAAAAUACACACGUGCAAAAUGAGCGAAAAACAUGCACACGUGCAAACAUAACGAAAAACACAGAAAAACACACACGCAUGCGAAACGAGUGAAAAAUACAGAAAAAAUAAACACACUCGUGUGAAACGAGCAAAAAAAUACAAAUAUGUAUGAAACGAGCGAAUAACACGCACACAUUCGAAAUGAGCAAAAAACACAAAAAAACACACACAUACGCGUGCGAAACGAGCGAAAAACACAGCCGUACGAAAAGAGCAAAAAACAAAGAAAAACACACACGCGUGCAAAACAAGCGAAAAAUACAAAAAAUACACACGUGCGAAACGAGCGAAAAACAUAAAUAAACACAUGCGAAACAAGCGAAAAAUACAUAAUGUGAAACUAGCGAAAAACAACAAAAGAAACACACAUACACACACAUACACGUGCGAAACGAGCGAAAAACACAAAAAAAUUCACAUACACGUGUGAAAUGAGCGAAAAAUACACAUACGUGCGAAACGAGCGAAAAAACCAAAAAAACCACACACCCCGUGUGAAAUGAGCAAAAACACGCACACGUGCGAAAUAAACGAAAAACACGUUCACGUACGAAACGAGCGAAAAACACGCAUAGGUGCGAAACGGGCAAAAAACACAACUGAAAAAACACACACGCGUGCGAAAGGAGCAAAACACACACACACAUGUGCUAAAUGAGUAAAAAACACGCCCACGUGCGAAACAAGCGAAAAACACACAAAAAAAUAUACACGUGUGAAACGAUCGAAAAACACAAAAAAAUUAAAAAAUACACACGUGCGAAACAAGCAAAAAACAUAAAAAAAUACGUACACAUGUGUGAAACGAGCAAAAAACACAAAAAAAUAAAUAAAUAACAAACACACAAGUGCGAAACGAGCGAAAAACGUACAUGGGCGAAAUGAGCGAAAAACACAAAAAAACAGACACGUACGAAACAAGCAAGAAAUACACACGUGCGAAACGAACAAAAAACAGAAACACGUGCGAAAAGAGCAAAAAUCGCAAAAAAUAUACAUGUGCGAAACGAGCAAAAAAUACACACACGUGUAAUACGAGUAAAAAAAAAACACAGACCCCGUGCGAAACGAGUGAAAAACAAACACACGUGCGAAAUGAAGGAAAAACAAAAAAACACACGUAUGAAACGAGCGAAAAACAUACACACCUGCGAAACGAGCAAUAAACACACAUACGUGCGAAACAAGCGAAAAACAGGCAUAUGUGCGAAACAAGCGAAAAAAACACACACAUGUGAAACCAGCAAAAACUAAAAAAAAAUAAAAAAACAACCACACACGUGCAAAA